rnacentral:rRNA from 1 species
UUAACUUAAGAGUUUGAUCCUGGCUCAGGACGAACGCUGGCGGCGUGCCUAACACAUGCAAGUCGAGCGGGAGUGGUGUUUAACACUGAACAUUCUACUAAUAAGGCGCAAACAAAGCGUCAUGACGAAACAUCAUUGGUGUUGAGAUGAUGAUAGAAGUUUCGUCAUCACGCGGUUCCCAAGUGCCAACACAAAGGAACAAAUCAAAGGAGUAGAAUAUUGAGUGUUAAACAUCACUCUAGCGGCGGACGGGUGAGUAACACGUGGGCAACCUGCCCUUGAGCGGGGGAUAACACCGGGAAAUCGGUGCUAAUACCGCAUAACAUACAAGUACCGCAUGGUGCGAGUAUCAAAGGAGAAAUCCACUCAAGGAUGGGCCCGCGGCUGAUUAGCUAGUUGGUAAGGUAAAGGCUUACCAAGGCGACGAUCAGUAGCCGACCUGAGAGGGUGACCGGCCACACUGGAACUGAGACACGGUCCAGACUCCUACGGGAGGCAGCAGUGGGGAAUAUUGCACAAUGGGGGAAACCCUGAUGCAGCAACGCCGCGUGGAGGAAGAAGGUUUUCGGAUUGUAAACUCCUGUCUUUUGGGACGAUAAUGACGGUACCAAAGGAGGAAGCCACGGCUAACUACGUGCCAGCAGCCGCGGUAAUACGUAGGUGGCGAGCGUUGUCCGGAAUUACUGGGCGUAAAGAGCGCGUAGGCGGUUUUUUAAGUCAGAUGUGAAAAUCCAGGGCUUAACUCUGGGCGUGCAUUUGAAACUGGGGAACUAGAGUGCAGGAGAGGUAAGUGGAAUUCCUAGUGUAGCGGUGAAAUGCGUAGAUAUUAGGAGGAACACCAGUGGCGAAGGCGACUUACUGGACUGUAACUGACGCUGAGGCGCGAAAGCGUGGGUAGCGAACAGGAUUAGAUACCCUGGUAGUCCACGCCGUAAACGAUGGAUACUAGGUGUGGGAGGUAUCGACCCCUUCCGUGCCGCAGUAAACGCAAUAAGUAUCCCGCCUGGGGAGUACGGCCGCAAGGUUGAAACUCAAAGGAAUUGACGGGGGCCCGCACAAGCAGCGGAGCAUGUGGUUUAAUUCGAAGCAACGCGAAGAACCUUACCAGGACUUGACAUCCCCUGCAUAACUCGUAACGGAGGAAGUCCUUCGGGACAGGGAGACAGGUGGUGCAUGGUUGUCGUCAGCUCGUGUCGUGAGAUGUUGGGUUAAGUCCCGCAACGAGCGCAACCCCUAUUGCUAGUUGCCAUCAUUAAGUUGGGCACUCUAGUGAGACUGCCGGAGACAAUUCGGAGGAAGGUGGGGAUGACGUCAAAUCAUCAUGCCCCUUAUGUUCUGGGCUACACACGUGCUACAAUGGGUGUAACAACGGGAAGCAAGCUGGAGACAGUAAGCCAACCUCUAAAAAGCACCCUCAGUUCGGAUUGCAGGCUGAAACCCGCCUGCAUGAAGUUGGAGUUGCUAGUAAUCGCGAAUCAGCAUGUCGCGGUGAAUACGUUCCCGGGCCUUGUACACACCGCCCGUCACACCAUGGGAGUUGGAAGCACCCGAAGCCGGUGACUUAACCGUAAGGAGAGAGCCGUCGAAGGUGAAGUCAAUGACUGGGGUGAAGUCGUAACAAGGUAGCCGUAUCGGAAGGUGCGGCUGGAUCACCUCCUUUCUA